UGUGCAAUUCCUGCUGCGUGACAUGUUUUGGGAAUCUGUUUGACAGCCUUCCCUAACUCUAAAUGUAAUGAAAUUUUAGGAAAAUGAAGUUUGAUAUGUCUAGUAAGAAUCUGGAAAGUUUGGGAUUUUUUGGUUAUAGGCUUGAUUUUUAGCGAUUUUCCAAAGGUGGGAUGUCCAGUUGACAUGGUAGGAAAGCUCGUCUAUAAGUUUUGCUUGGCAUGUUUUAGCAUUGAGCGUGUUGUUUAUGCAUUUCUCUGCUUGAUCGUCAUCCAAGGCUAGUGCUGGAAGAGAAAGUUAUUUCUCUAAGUGAAAGGUGCAACUUGGCUUUUACUUCCAAAAGCGGUGAAAUUCUAAGAGACCAAAGAAGUUUAUACCAAAAGUGGUCGCGAUUAGCCCUCUCCAGGCCAGAGCAGAACUUUCUGCACCAAUCCCUAAGCAUGUUCAGCUGCAAAUGUACUCUUGAAACAUGAUCGUUCUUCUUUAAUUGAAGUUGUCAUAUAGCCACGAGAAGAAGUUCUUGCAAGUAUUAGUUGCCGAAGUAUCCAUCUUCAGAAAGACCAAUUCUCAAGUAUGCAUGAAAAUAAUGAUGGUGCCAAAGUCUGCGCAGAAGAACAUGGGGAUAAUUGCAAUGAUGGGUCAGCUGGUUGUAUAAAUAAUGAGAUCAACGAUGGUGCUGAAGGAGAUGGUAUCGUGAAAUAGAAGAUACGAUAUUCUUUUAGCACCAACUACCCUUCUCCCGGCACCAACUACCCUUCUUCUAGCACCAACCUCCCUUCUUUCUUGGUGUAUUUGAGGUCGUCCUUUGAGGUGAUUGACAAGGGAUUCAUCGCUUGUCAAGACCUUCCAUGAGAUCCACUAACCCGUCGUCAAUUAUUAGUGGCCACCUUUAUUCACUGGAUGAUAAAUUGAAGACGGGAAGACCCCCUCCAUUGCUCAAGAAUGCUUGUGAACA